ACGGGAGGCAGCAGUGGGGGAUAUUGCACAAUGGAGGAAACUCUGAUGCAGCAACGCCGCGUGAGGGAAGAAGGUUUUCGGAUUGUAAACCUCUGUUUUUAGUGAAGAAACAAAUGACGGUAGCUAAAGAGGAAGCCACGGCUAACUACGUGCCAGCAGCCGCGGUAAUACGUAGGUGGCAAGCGUUGUCCGGAUUUACUGGGUGUAAAGGGUGCGCAGGCGGGACUGCAAGUUGGAUGUGAAAAUCCGAGGCUCAACCUCGGAACUGCAUCCAAAACUGUGGUUCUUGAGUGAAGCAGAGGUAAGCGGAAUUCCGAGUGUAGCGGUGAAAUGCGUAGAUAUUCGGAGGAACACCAGUGGCGAAGGCGGCUUACUGGGCUCUAACUGACGCUGAGGCACGAAAGUGUGGGUAGCAAACAGGAUUAGAUACCCUGGUA
rnacentral:rRNA from 1 species